GGAUGAAGGCAAGGAAUGGGAAACUUCAUUCCUAUUGGUCGAAGGCCAUGCCCAAUGGAAUUCAAUGAGGCUGCCCAAGGCCUUAUUAAGGAUUAGGAUUUUUCUUUCAAAGUCAUUCGAGCUUUUGAAAUUAAGAUCAAUAAAUUCAAGGUUUUGGGUAUAAUUUGGAUGAAUAAUUUGUAUGAUUUCGAGUUUUUGUAAAGGAGAUAUAGGUGUUCAAAGUUAAGGUGUCAAAUUUGUAUCUACUAUCACUCUUUGAAGUAUAACAUAUGCGUACGGAGAGCAAUAAAAGUUUGGCGACUGCAAUUAGAGAGAAUACUUGCUUAGCUACACUUUACAUAUAUUGUUUGAUGAAUUCUAAGUUUGGAUGAAGGAGUUAUAGGGCAUUGAAGACAGCACAUGUAAUUCAAAGGUAAUAAGUGAGUCAUUUUGUUGAUAGUAAUGUUAUGAGCCGUAUCUUGAGUUCUUGAGCAAAUUUUUGGCUCAAAAUUUCUAUAAGUAUGUGUUAUUAAGUUAAAAAGCUAUAGAUCAAAGUUUCAUGGUAUUUGAGUACUUAU
rnacentral:lncRNA from 1 species